rnacentral:lncRNA from 1 species
UUUGGGGCGGGGACUGUCCCCAAUGCUCCGCAGCAAGGUUGGCUGAUUGUGGAGGCUAAAGCAACUCUACCUUGCCAGCUUAUCCACCAUGUGGACUUCUAAUUAAUCUCAGUUGCCGGAAUGCCUCUAAGAUUUCUACGUUAUCUACUGUGAAGAGCAAGUAAUUACUGCAAAUCCUGCCCUUGGGUCAAAACAACCUUGAUGACAUAUUCCUUCUGAAGCACAUAUACUCUUUCCCUAGCUGCCUGCCCUGCAGACUUCAGGCUCCAGCAUCAGACACAGAGACCCAGCGUUAUGGAGACUGUCUAACCAGAUCUCACAAUUGUGGAAGAUCCCAACUCCUACAGAAAUCUCUUAAAAA